UUUAUCAUGAUGAUAUUUUACCGCCCCAGGCUGAUGGUGUUGAUGGAUUGGUUAUACUGACUUGCU